rnacentral:rRNA from 1 species
GACGAACGCUGGCGGCGUGCUUAACACAUGCGAGUCGAACGGUGAAGCGAGUGCUUGCACUCGUGGAUCAGUGGCGAACGGGUGAGUAACACGUGAGUAACCUGCCCAUCACUCUGGGAUAAGCACUGGAAACGGUGUCUAAUACUGGAUACGACCAACCCUUUCAUGGGGUGUUGGUGGAAAGAUUUAUCGGUGAUGGAUGGACUCGCGGCCUAUCAGCUUGUUGGCGGGGUAAUGGCCCACCAAGGCGACGACGGGUAGCCGGCCUGAGAGGGUGACCGGCCACACUGGGACUGAGACACGGCCCAGACUCCUACGGGAGGCAGCAGUGGGGAAUAUUGCACAAUGGGCGAAAGCCUGAUGCAGCGACGCCGCGUGAGGGAUGACGGCCUUCGGGUUGUAAACCUCUUUCAGCAGGGAAGAAGCGAAAGUGACGGUACCUGCAGAAGAAGCACCGGCUAACUACGUG